GACGUAGGAUGCAAGCGUUGUCCGGAUUUAUUGGGCGUAAAGAGUUCGUAGGCGGUUUGUUAAGUCUGGUGUUAAAGAUCGGGGCUCAACCUCGGGACUGCAUUGGAUACUGGCAGACUGGAGUAUGGUAGAGGUAAGUGGAAUUUCUGGUGUAGCGGUGAAAUGCGUAGAUAUCAGGAAGAACACCGGUGGCGUAGGCGACUUACUGGGCCAUAACUGACGCUGAGGAACGAAAGCCAGGGGAGCAAAUGGG
rnacentral:rRNA from 1 species